CAGGCAGAUCCAAUUUUCUGCCACCGAAUACAUUAGCAUGGGAUAAUGGAAUAGGACCCUGUCCUCCUAUUUUCAGUUGGUUUUGGCAGCGCGAGGACUAGGGUAAUGAUUAAUAGGGAUAGUUGGGGGCAUUAAUAUUUAAUUGUCAGAGGUGAAAUUCUUGGAUUUAUGAAAGAUUAACUUCUGCGAAAGCAUCUGCCAAGGAUGUUUUCAUUAAUCAAGAACGAAAGUUAGGGGAUCGAAGACGAUCAGAUACCGUCGUAGUCUUAACCAUAAACGAUGCCGACCAGCGAUUAGGAGACGUUGAAUACAAAACACCACCAUCGGUGCGGUCGUCCUUGGCGUCGGUCUUUCGGGGCCGGCGCGGGGGCGGCUUAGCCCGGUGGCACCGGUGAAUGACUCCCCUAGCAGCUUGUGAGAAAUCAUAAGUCUUU
rnacentral:rRNA from 1 species